UACUUAUCAAGAGAGGUGGAGGGAAUGGCCCAAAGAAACCCAGCAACCAGUACAGUGUGUACCAAGGUGCUAAAUCCUGCAGGAAACUGCAAGAUAAGUU
rnacentral:ncRNA from 2 species